UAGCUCAGUGGUAAAGUGCAUGCUUAGCAUGCAUGAGGUCCUGGGUUCAAUUCCCCAG
rnacentral:tRNA from 1 species